ACUGAGGGAGUCCUGGACUAGGGGGUGUCCGGAUAGCCGGACUAUCGAUAUCCGCCGGACUCCCAGACUACGAAGAUAGAAGAUUGAAGACUCCGGCUCGUGUCCGGAAGGUACUUUACUUGGCGUGGAAGGCAAGCUUGGCAAUACGGAUGUGUAGAUCUCCUACCAUUGUAACCGACUCUGUGUAACCCUAGCCUCUCGGUGUCUAUAUAAACCGGAGGGCUUUAGUCCGUAGGACACAACAUUACAUCUCAACAAUCAUACCAUAGGCUAGCUUCUAGGGUUUAGCCUCAUUGAUCUCGUGGUAGAUCUACUCUUGUACUACCCAUAUCAUCAAUAUUAAUCAAGCAGGACGUAGGGUAUUACCUCCAUCGAGAGGGCCUGAACCUGGGUAAAACCAUUGUGUCCCUCGUCUCCUGUUACCAUCCGUCUAGACGCACAGUUCGGGACCCCCUACCCGAGAUCCGCCGGUUUUGACAACGACAUUGGUGCUUUCAUUGAGAGUUCCUCUGUGUCGUUGCCGAUAGAGCGGAUGCCUCUACCCGUCUUCAAAGACGGUGUUCUCGCCGGAGGGGCCUUGGCCGCCGGUCAGACAAUCCGGCUUGGCGGUUUCCUUAUGACCGCCUGUCCGGCCGUCGCUUCGGCAAUGACUUCUCAAGUCGUCGAAAGCAAUCUUUGAGUCAGCCCUAAAGCUACCGAAUAGUUAGAUCCAAUCGAGCUCUCAUCUAUUAACGAGCUCUUGGAUCGCAUCGCCGCCCUGGGAGUCGCAACGGACUACGAUCAGAUCGGGCUUAAAACCGAUCUGAGAGAGAUUAACUCUCCCCAGGCAACCCACCACGUCGAAGUGGUAGAAGAACAACUCGGCAAUUCGUUGCCAUUGUUGAAAACAAUCUGUGUCCGGAUUCCCGAACCCUCCAUCCCGGAUUACCGCGGAGGGACGGACCCUGAUCGAGCAUUGAACCUAAAAUCAUGUGUCGCCCCGGACUCGCUGGGCUAUUCCCAGCAAAUCAAGCUUCCAAGUUCGGAAGACCCUCGGCCUUUGAGCCCAAAGAUGGGCAGGGAUCCGGAUUUUAUUCCACCCACCCGCCCAGACAUAUGCGACCUAUCUCUAAUUCGGCAAGAGCCCUCAGAAACAGUACAUCAUUACUGGGCCAGAUUCCUCCUGGUUAUGGACAGGAUAAAGGACUGCCGAGAGGAAAACACAAUCUCAAUCUUCUGCAAUAACUGCACGGAUAGGGGAAUCCUGAACGCCAUUGAUCGUCGCAAGAUUACGGGUUUUACCGAUCUGGCGUCCAUAGUACGAAAGUACUGUGCGAUGGAAAGUUUCCGGAAAACUGAAAAUCAAUUUUGGGAUAAUCCGGCACCAAACCCAGUCCGCGGUAAAAGGGCGCCCCACAAUCAGGCCCCAAAUGCAAAAACCAAAAAGCAAAAACCCAGCAAGGGAAACAGAACCGUACUGGAGGGAUGGCUCAAUGGACCCUGUAAACUUCAUAAUACGGGGGGAGCUGUCCCAACACAUAGCCUUCGAGCAUGUUGGAUACUACGGCAGGUGGCCAAAAGUGGCGAAGAGCUUCUAGCUCCGGGAAACCACUCCAACAAUACCAGCACGGUAUCAACAGUCUUCGAGACUUUCGCAUCAAAUAAUAUGCGAAAACGAACAAUCCGCGAACUCGCCGAAGUCUACCAAGUAGCAACAGCAAAUCCAUGGAGCGACACAGCUAUCACCUUUAGCGCCAGCGACGAGCCCACAUCUCGAACUACCAGAGCCCUAGCCGCACUAGUACUUAGUCCCAUAGUGGACGGCUUUCGACUGACAAAAGUCCUCAUGGACGGCGGCAGCGGACUAAACCUCAUUUAUGAGGAAACCCUGCGGAAAAUGGAAAUCGAUUGGAGCCGUAUUGAGCAAAGCAGCACAACCUUCAAAGGAAUAAUCCCUAGACGGGAAGCACGCUGCACCGGAAAAAUCACCCUCGAUGUGGUGUUCGGCUCUUCGGACAAUUACAGAUCCGAAGAAGUCACGUUCCAGGUAGCCCCGUUCAGCAGCAGCUAUCAUGCCAUAUUAGGAUGAGAGGCAUUCACAAUUUUUCAAGCAAUACCUCAUUACGGGUACAUGAAGCUCAAAAUGCCCGGCCCCGGCGGAAUAAUCACUCUUGUCAGUGAUCCGGAUACAGCACUCCGCGCCGAAAACAAGACAGCCGCACUAGCCCUCGAGGCACUAUCCGAAGCCUUAGCGGCAGAGGAGCUCACCGCGCUACGCUCUAGGUAAACAGGGACGAUGUGAUACUUGAUAAAAGAUCCAAGUCCACCUCCUUCAAACCAGCAGAUGAGAUAGUUAAAUUUCAGGUCCACCCAACGGACCCAACAAAGACGGCCUCCAUCGGGGCAUAGUUGAACCCCGAAGUGGACGCCGCACUGCGCGAAUUCCUUCGGGAAAAUUGGGACAUCUUCGCCUGGCACCCUUCGGACAUGCCUGGAAUCCCUCGCAGGUUGGCAGAACACAGCCUAAACAUCCUAAAAGGAUUUAAGCCAGUCAAACAGGCUCUUCGGCGAUUUUCCGAACCUAAAAGACAGGCAAUGGGAGAAGAGCUAGCCAAGUUAUUGGAAGCCGGAUUCAUUAGAGAUAUCAAACAUCCGGACUGGCUAGCAAAUUUGGUGAUGGUACCAAAGAAAGAUAAAUCCUGGCGUCUCUGUGUCGACUUCAAAGACCUCAAUAAGGCUUGCCCAAAGGAUCCUUUCCCCCUCCCCCGCAUCGAUCAAAUUAUCGAUGCCACAGCAGGACACGAUUCGUUGUGCUUCCUGGAUGCAUACUCUGGCUAUCAUCAAAUCAAGAUGGCGGAAGCAGAUCAAGCCGCAACGGCAUUCAUUACUCCAUACGGGCCAUUCUGCUUCAACACGAUGCCCUUCGGACUCAAAAACGCCGGCGCAACAUAUCAGCACAUGAUUCAAACAUGUCUGGCUACCCAGAUCGGCAAAACAGUCGAGGCAUACGUAGACGACGUAGUCGUCAAAACAAAACACGUCGAAACCUUAGUAGACGAUUUGAGGCUCACAUUCGACAACCUCAGAGCAUAUGACAUUAAGCUGAAUCCGGAAAAAUGCAUUUUCGGCAUACCAGCCGGGAAGCUGCUGGGCUUCAUCGUAUCCGGUAGAGGGAUCGAAGCAAAUCCGGCCAAAAUCCGGGCUCUGUCACAGUUGGAUAUCCCAAAGGACCUCAAGCAAAUACAAAAAUUAACAGGAUGCGUGGCAGCCUUAAGCCGUUUUAUCUCCCGUUUAGGAGAGAAGGCGCUGCCCCUUUAUCGCCUCCUAAGGCGCACCGAACACUUCGAGUGGACGGAUGCCGCCACUGCCGGACUCGAAGAAAUAAAGGCCAUAUUGGCAACAAAUCCGGUCCUGGCUGCGCCCACUCAGGGCGAACCGAUGUUGUUAUACAUCGCGGCAACACACCAAGUUGUGAGCGCUGUCCUCGUCGUCGAACGAGCAACAGAAGGGCAUAAAUUCCCUCUUCAAAAACCAGUGUAUUAUGUAUCCACUGUGCUAACCCCCUGCAAAUCCCAUUACCCGCACUAUCAAAAGAUAGCAUAUGCGGUGUUCAUGGCGUCUCGGAAGCUUCGGCACUACUUUCAAGAGUGUUCGAUAACAGUGGCUUCUGAAGUACCACUCAAUGACAUUAUAAAUAAUCGCGACGCAACGGGCAGGAUCGCAAAAUGGGCCAUUGAGCUCUUGCCAUUCGACAUAACCUACAAACCUCGACAAGCCAUAAAGUCACAAGUUUUGGCUGACUUCGUCGCCGAAUGGACUGAAGCCGAACUACCUAAAGAGUACGGCGCAUACUCCAAUUGGACUAUGCACUUCGACGGCUCCAAAAUGUUGGCCGGACUGGAGGCUGGCGUCGUACUGACGUCCCCCACCGGAGAUACAGUUCAGUAUGUACUUCAGAUAAUGUACACGGACUCCAACAAUGCAGCCGAAUAUGAGGCCUUAUUACAUGGUCUCCGGAUGGUAGUCUCCAUGGGCAUUCAACGCCUAGAGGUGCACGGGGAUUCAAACCUUGCAAUAUCCCAAAUAAAUGGAGACUUUGACGCCAAGGAUCCGAAAAUGGCAGCAUAUCGUAAUGUUGUCCAGAAAAUGUCAGCUCGGUUUGAAGGACUCAAAUUCCAUCACAUAGCCCGAGAUAACAACCAAGCGGCCGACAUCCUGGCACGCAUCGGUGCGAAACGUGAUGUUGUCCCUCCAAAUAUCUUCUUGGAACGGCUCUUCAAGCCAUCGUACUAUGGGAAGAGGAGUCCGGUAGCGACAAACCGGAGAAAGCCGCACCAACUGGUGAUUCAGCAGACAACGUAACACAAUCCGCCCACGACAUAAUGGCAGUAAUCGCCGCGUGGACAGAACCUUUCCUGGCCUACUUACUUAGGCAGGAACUUCCCGAAGACCAAAAUGAGGCCCGCUGCAUAGUCCGGCGAUCGAAGGCCUACAAGGUUCAUGAGGGAGAACUUUAUAAGAAAAGUACUACCGGAGUCCUUCAAAGGUGUAUCUCCAAAGAAGAAGGGAGAAACCUCCUGGCUGAAAUCCAUGCCGGACUAGGUGGACACCAUGCAGCAGCCCGGGCCCUGGUUGGAAAGGCAUUCCGUACAGGAUUUUAUUGGCCGACGGCUCGGGCAGAUGCACAGGACUUGGUCCAGCGAUGCGUUGGUUGCCAGCUCUUUGCUAAUCAGAGCCAUAUGCCACCCACCGCCCUCAAAACCAUACCCAUUACCUGGCCGUUCGUGGUCUGGGGGCUUGACAUGGUCGGACCCCUUAAAGGGGGAACCCAUAAGAGAAGGUACCUGUUGGUCAUGGUGGAUAAGUUCACCAAAUGGAUAGAGGCCAAACCGGUCAAAACGGCAGAGUCCGGACCAGUGAUAGACUUUAUAUCAGAGGUGGUACACCGUUACGGAGUCCCCCACAGCAUCAUCACGGAUAACAGCACGAACUUCACAGUCGAUGAAGUGAAGUCAUGGUGCAAAAAUAUGGGCAUUAAGCUCGACUAUGCGUCAGUCUAUCACCCUCAAACCAACGGUCAAGUGGAAAGAGAAAACGGUCUAAUAAUGAGCGGCAUUAAACCCAUACUAGUGAGGUCACUCACUAAAUCAGACACCCAAUGGGUCGAGGAGCUCGACUCCGUACUCUGGGGGCUGCGGACAACGCCUAACCGUACUACCGGAUUCACACCAUUCUUUAUGGUAUACGGCGCAGAGGCAGCCUUGCCCUGCGACAUUAUUCAUGACUCACCUCGAGUGCGCAUGUAUGAGGAAAGAGAAGCCGAGCUAGAUCGGCAGGACAGCUUGGACACAUUGGAGGAAGAACGGGACGUUGCGAAGACUCGUUCCGCAUUCUAUCAGCAACAGGCCAGAAGAUAUCAAAGCAGAGAAGUACGGGCCAAAACCUACAACGUUGGUGAACUAGUUCUACGCCUGCCGGACAAGAAGAAGGACAAGCUCAAGCCCAGAUGGGAAGGCCCCUUCAUUAUUGAUCAAGUACUGACCGGCGGAGCGUACCGUCUACGAAAUGCGUCGGACAACCGACUCGAGCCGAACCCAUGGAACGCAGCCCGACUCCGACGAUUCUAUGCCUAGCACCGGACUAAGAGUUCGUCCCCUUCCCCCGUCCAACUUUAUAUAUAUUUCGGUUGUCCUCUUUUUCUAUUUUUCUCCUUUUUAAAAUUAACAAAUCCCUUCGGGGCCUAUUUUUUCAUUUUUUGCAUACACACGAUGUGCCACUCGCACUCGUUAUUCCUGGGGGCUUCUUUUACAGAAGCUCAACUAUACGGGUUUUAUACCCAACACAUGUGUCAUGCUUCCACAUGUACCUUUUACCCGCCAUUAUAUGCAUCGAUAUGACUUAAGUUUUGGCCAAGCUGGGUUGCCUGGCUCCUGUGCUUACCCCUACGUUCCCGAUUGUUCGGCUAGGUGGUAAAGGGAGCACCUCUGCGAUUGUUACUGCCGGGUCAGCCGGAUGUGUACCUCAGACUGGGUGAAGCCGAAAGCUAGCGUUCUUAAGGGAAUAUUCGGUCGGUGAUUUAAAAGAUGACUUUUUACCUACCUUUCUUUUCCAUCUGCCCCCAGAUGUUUUACUGCUCCAUUGGCAGUCCGAACAUGCACUUUAGGGCAUGCCACCCCAGCGAAAGGAACCCUUAACGGAACUAUUCUCUCUGGAAGAUGUUUCUUACUAACCAUGUAAUAUAACAUAACUAGUUGGGCACUUUUCUGAUAAAGCACUAAUGACCCCUACGCCUAGUCUCCGUGCAUACCACGGUUAUUUCUUAACCACAAAGGUAUUCGGACGCACUCCGGACUCUCGGGUCCCGAGGUUGAAGCGAGAAGGUCGGCAACGACAAACGAUCUACAAUCCGGCUAGAAGACAUUUUACAUGUCAUUUUUUAAGGAUAACAUACAUUGUCAAGUUCAUUGAUUGUAUUCCUCCUCAAUCCCGUCUAACAGGCUGUCUAGCUUACAGUCCCGUUGGGAAAAUUUAGCAGCCAGUUCUACCUGGCUGUACACUAAACUCACAGGGAUCUCCUUCCCGUUGGGCCCCACUGGUCCAACUUCGGCCAUAUGGUUAGGGAUCCGCCUUCUUGUACCGCGUCUUCACCAUGGCCCAAGCCUCCCUGGCACCUUGACGGCAGGCCGAAACCUUCCACAAACAGAAGCGCUGCCGCACUCCCUGUAGCUUCUCUGCAAGCUCCCCGAGGCCCUCGGGCGGGACGAGGGAUGGCCAUAAAGCCUGUACGACGCCACUCAUUGCUUGCCGAACUCGUUCGAACAGCUGCAACAGUUCGAGAAGUUGAUCACCCAUUGAUACGGGAAUCUCCUCCGCAGGAUGGCCCGUGAGUAUACCUACAAGACACAUUAUGUCAAAUCGCUUCCUUGCCGAACUCCUCUUCCUAAGAGAGUUCGCUCGAGCACUUACUAUAGAUGCUGCGACGAAGCUGUUGAUUCUCCUUAACGGAGCCGGACAGCUCGGCCUGCGCGCCUUUCAGCUCUUCGCCGAGCCUGGCGUUGGCAUCUUGAAGCUUGUUCCUUUCCUACUGAACUCUGUUCAGCACAUUUUCGCCGGCUUUUAGCUGGCGUAGUAGCGAUUGCCUGUCCGGAUCUUGUUCGGCAGCACCUACAGUGUCGUUAUUAGACUCGUGCGCACGCCGCAUAGCGCUUAUAUUAAUUUAUACAAACGUGUUACCAGGUGGGGUCUUCCCGUCUCCUCCUGCGGCAGCAAGUGCAGCCCCAAGUUGGGCCUUGCAAUCUUGCAGCUCCCGGGACAGUUGGGCAUUCUUCUCGUGAAGAGACUGAAAGUUCAUGUGAUCCUUAAAUCAGUUAACAUAACCAAUUUAAGUCUCGGGGGCUACUGGUGUAUACAACCAUUAAAAAUUCCCUUACCCGUAUGUCUUUAACAUACUGCUCCGUGGGCCUGGUAAAACCAUUUUGGGCAGCCCGGAGAUGCGCGUCCCCUGCUUUAAAGGCAUCCAAUACCUCAGGGGAAAAGCACGCCUCUUGAAAAACUGUCCGGCGGCGUCUAUGAUUCAUAGCGCUCUCCACCUCCGACUUUGUGGCGGACAGUCUGUCGGUAUCCUCCAUUGGAGUAGGAUCCGGUUCGCGUCUUGCGCUUGCCUCCCCCUCCAGUCCGAGUGCAGGAGCCUGGCUGGUGUUGAUUGGGUUGGCAAUUCCUGUGCUCGCAGUCCGGCGAGCGCUUUUUCUUCUAUAAAGAUCAUGAGCACUUAGAAGUUUCCUCGGAACAUUGACUCAGAAAGAUCAAACGCGAGCUAUACCUCUGCGGCGACGUUUCCGCCCGCACGGCGCUCCUUUUCCUCCUGCUGGUUCGGCCUGACCUCUGUAGGUCGGCCGCCGCAGGCUCGGCUCCCGGCCGGAUUGGCGCUUCCUGCAAGAUACCAUCGUUCGCGAAGGUCAGAAUAGGCAAGGAUAAGAUAACGGUGUCUGGACUUCGGUCUUGGUCACCUGGGAUGCCGAACUUAGCCCGGGGUAGUCCGCCGUAAUGGCGACCAACGCAUCAUCAACGCUUAGCUGGUGAUACACCCUGUCGAUUAGCUCCACCCCGAGGUCCGGAUCCUCUUCGGAGGCCGGACCCAGGGAUCCUUCCGGGUCCUCGGGUUGUGGAGCAGGACUCACCAUGUCCUCCACAGUCCGGCGUAGACUCUGCGCCGAAGACGUAAUAUAAGAAGCUUAAACUUCGAAAAUACGGGUAAAGGCCCUUUUGAGGUGUUCGCUUACCCAUCCUCUGGGAUUGACCAUAGAAAACCCAUUCACAGGGUUCGGACGAAGGAAGUACUCCUUCUCCCCCUUGUACAGGCCGGACAGGAUCUUCACCAGAUCCUCGGUCGAAUCCGGGCCUUUGCGGCCGUGCCGGGUGGCAUCGUCCUCCCCAUUGAAAUCCCACAUGGGGUGGCCUCUGUAUUGCAGCGGCUGCACCCCCCGCUUGAUGCAUGUUGCCAUAACUCCAAUCAUGGUCAAGCCGGAAUGAGCCAUUAGUCUUAUUCGGCCCAUCAAGUAAUGGACGCUCUUGUCCUCCUCCAAACGGGGGCUCCGCGGGCGCCAGCUGAGGCGUUUCUUCAAGGGAGCAGCAUCAAACUCCGGGAGGCCGAUCCGGACUGGGUCAGGCAGCGGAGCGUCUACAAUAUAAAACCACUCCAAGGGCCAGUCUUUGGAAGCCCUCUUCGGGGUGCCGGAUAGGUAUCCGGUCCCAGCAAUGCGCCAUAUUUCGGCGCCGCCCACUUGAUAUAUGGACCCCUGGUGAGAAUGGGGUACGAGGAAGAAUAGCCUCUUCCACAAUGCGAAAUGGGGCUCGAUGCCCAGGAAUAGCUCGCAAAAAGCUACGUAGCCCGCGAUGUGCAACACAGAAGCGAGCGUGAGGUGGUGGAGCUGAAGUCCAUAGAACUUCAGGAGCCCGCGGAGGAACGGAUGUAUUGGAAAGCCGAGCCCCCUUAUUAGAUAAGGGACGAAACACACCCGCUCCCCCCUGUUGGGGCUUGGGGUGUCCUCCGCCUGGCUCCCUCCUCGAUAACUAACCAGUCCGGCUCGGACCGGAACCAUGAAGGCCGGCGGAAGCCAUCCCUCCGUUUGGAGCUUUACUAGCUCGUUGUGCGAAAUAGAGCACCUCCUCCAAUCGCCCGGCGAUGGGCUGGGAGCGCGUGAGGAAGAGCCGCGUUGACGAUCCAUGGUGGAAUGGAUUUCAGGGUCAGAGGCGCUUCGAUGGAGUAUACGCGGGAGGAGGAUGGUGCGGUUUGGAUCUGGAUCCCUGCCCCUUUAAUAGGCAGGUGACCCGCACGACCCGGGGGUAAAAUGUAAAAGACUCCCUGGCUUUUCGCAUUCGUGCGACGCGUGGAAGAGGGCCAUAAUUUGGCGUAGAAGUCAAGAAGCACAAUAUUCGAGGUGCAGUCGGACAUUGUUCAGCAGGAACAUGGAAUUCGAAGGGAGAACCCGCCUUGCAACGCCGAAGACUACAAGCACGCUGGACUUAUCGUCAUUGAAGCCUGGUUCGGGGGCUACUGAGGGAGUCCUGGACUAGGGGGUGUCCGGAUAGCCGGACUAUCGAUAUCCGCCGGACUCCCAGACUACGAAGAUAGAAGAUUGAAGACUCCGGCUCAUGUCCGGAAGGUACUUUACUUGGCGUGGAAGGCAAGCUUGGCAAUACGGAUGUGUAGAUCUCCUACCAUUGUAACCGACUCUGUGUAACCCUAGCCUCUCCGGUGUCUAUAUAAACCGGAGGGCUUUAGUCCGUAGGACACAACAUUACAUCUCAACAAUCAUACCAUAGGCUAGCUUCUAGGGUUUAGCCUCAUUGAUCUCAUGGUAGAUCUACUCUUGUACUACCCAUAUCAUCAAUAUUAAUCAAGCAGGACGUAGGGUAUUACCUCCAUCGAGAGGGCCUGAACCUGGGUAAAAACAUUGUGUCCCUCGUCUCCUGUUACCAUCCGCCUAGACGCACAGUUCGGGACCCCCUACCCGAGAUCCGCCGGUUUUGACACCGACAC
rnacentral:lncRNA from 1 species